rnacentral:rRNA from 1 species
UACGUAGGGUGCGAGCGUUGUCCGGAAUUACUGGGCGUAAAGAGCUCGUAGGCGGUUUGUCGCGUUGUUCGUGAAAACUCACAACUCAAUUGUGGGCGUGCGGGCGAUACGGGCAGGCUGGAGUACUGCAGGGGAGACUGGAAUUCCUGGUGUAGCGGUGGAAUGCGCAGAUAUCAGGAGGAACACCGGUGGCGAAGGCGGGUCUCUGGGCAGUAACUGACGCUGAGGAGCGAAAGCGUGGGGAGCGAACAGG